AAAUGCCUCAACAAGAACAGGCAACGCUCUGCCGCACAAUAAAGGAAGCCCAAGCUCGCAGUUAACUCAUCGUGUGCCGGGGUAGACGGCUGUACUCCUUCACACAAAUCCUGUGGCCACUUGGCUCGUUUGGGUGAAGUGCUUGAGAAGGUGGAGUCAGUGGAAACCACAGCUGGCAUGUUCUGCCUAUCAAGCCACAUGCUGAGUGUUUUGAAGGCGGCAGGACCCAAGGAACGACCAUGACAUGGCUGCCAGGACAGAGUUAUUAUGAUUUCCAGCACCUGGAGCUAUUAGAUUUAAGUAAUGUUUCUAAACCUGCAGGCAAGAUGCAAGUGAGCAUUGAGGGGAGGAUGCAAGGAAGUUUCAAAGUCUUUGAGGUUUUCUCAUCGAUUUGCAAGACCGGCGAUUCCUUGACAUCACUGGUCACCGCGGGGAAAACAAUGGCAACAUUCUAGAAUUGCUGCGGUCCGCCAAUCAUUCUUUACGGGAUUUCUGAAGCAACCAAAUGACAUGUUCAGCAACUUUGGAGGGAAGUGAAUGGUCCAGGGCAGCAGAGUCACAUGGAGCCCAAGUCGAUACAAUGAGUAUUACAUUGUCAUCCUUCAGCAUGCUGCUUGCCAAGUUCCAUCUUUAUGUCAAACCAAAAUCGUGCUGGUAAAUAACAGUAAUGGGAAAACAACAAUCCUUCUCCUUCCCUCAAUGCAAACUCUAACCACUGACAACUGACACUGACAAUGUAUUGUGAUGACAGACAACCCAUGAGAGGAGUUGACUGGGAGUCUACCUGAGUCCCGGUGCGGACACCCGGCUGGCGAACUGUCAGGAGCUGGAGAUGAAAGUCGCCACGCGGCUGGGGCACUGGGCGGGUCCCCCCGUCAGAGUGCUUUCCUACAGGGUGUAAGACUGUCAAUGUUUGUUUUUAUUUAUCAAUUUUUUUCCUUCUAAACUUAUUUGGCAGAGUGGAGAAUGUCAGUUUUUCUGCCUAUGUAAUGUGUAGCAAGAUAUAACCUCCAUCCAAGUCUGAGGAUUACUCACUUGUUGCAAGUUCAAACCAAUAUAGCAACUAAAACAACUGGUUGAUUUCCAUUUUUUGUUGUAAAUUUUUAUGUAAACUUUCCUGCAGGUUUUUAACCGACUCGUGGCCUCCAUGCUUUUGUACAGAUUAGCCACAUUGGUCCCAUCGGCCAUCUUUGCUGGGAUCAUUUUUUAAUAAUUGAAUAAUUCUUUUGAGGAAUUGAGGAGUUCCUGGCACACAGAAGCAGACUUUAUGGUCAUUGGUCAUGAAAAGGCUGAGGAGCAGCUGUGAGACAACAUCCAGGCUGCACAAAUAACAGCAGCAGUCAAUAUGGGACGGAGAAAGAAGUGUAAUGAAGUAUAUCUCAAUGGCAAGGUGAAGCCUGUCGAAUACAACGCAAGACAGAAUGUUAUGAGGAUUUAUCAGCCAGGUACCUCAAAUAUUCUGGACUCCAUUCUGUAGUGGAUAAAGCAAGCCCCUCAGUGUGCAAGGUUGUAUUGCAGGGACGGUAUUAUGUGAAUCAAGGGAAUCAAGUGAAAGAGGGAUGGUAUCGUGUGAAUCAAUUAAAAUCAUUCAUUGAUGUUAAUCCUAUAGAGUAAUCACCAGUACCACAUCCUGCUGGGUGCUGCCUGUGAGACAUUGUCCGCAUCUGCCGUCCAUUCACCACGGCCACACGUACCCCAAGUGGAACAAACUAGGGAGAAUGGCCACACAUCCCCAUCACACAAGCUGCCCACAGAAGGCAAUGUGCAAGAAGUAUUAGAAUAUUGUCUCAUUAGCCCAUUCCAAGAACUGUAAAUACAAGCAGAAAGUGCUCUUGCUUUACAGAUAAAUGAUGUUGUGGUGAUAACACAUGGGAUGCUGGUCAGGGGCGGAACAGCUUGAUGUCGGACUGAUAUAUAAUUUAACCCAGGUGUUGCGUCUCGGAGGCAGAACCAUUCUGGCCUACUCUGGUGCAGAUACACUAUGUGGCAAAUGCACUAAUGAAGACACAAUCCAACGUGUGAAAAAUCGAAAGUUAGGUCAGCGAUGGUGGAGAGAAGGUUGGAAUCACAAUUGUAGGAUCACAUUGUGGACAGGGAAACACCAAUAUAGCUGUUGUUUCCUUUAUCGGGUACUUCUGGCCCUGGCAUAAUGGGCCUGCCCAUGGUACAGAAAAUGGUAUGGGGUAUGCAGAGCUACCAUGAAGACUGGGACACCCAAUAGGCAAGUGGAUGGCUGUUUUAUGUUUCCCCUCUCAACCCCAGCUGAACCUUCAGCCAUCCCACCUGCCUCUUCAAUCACCCCUGCUAACCUCAAAAUAUGUCCCAAUACAAAAGAUGGACCACAACAUAGGUUGAUCUUGAAAGGAGCAGGUAAAGUCCUAUACGACAACAUACAUCACAAACUGGUACCCACUGUGUUGGAUAUCACAGGUAGACAGUUACCUGAAUGACUGGUGUCCAAUUCCAAUCCGAGAUAUAUAUAUAUAUUCCAAUGAUACAAACAUUGCUUGAGCAAGAAGUGGGGAAGAACAAAAAGAGGGAGCUUAAAGCUAAGGCCCAUAUGAGGAGAGGUAUAAUUAAUGAUGUAGGCACAGUCUACAGUGCUGGAAUGUCCACUGUCAAUGCCCUUGAUCUGGAAAAUCAAGAUGAGAGACUUAACUCAGCAAGUCAAACAAGUUCUGGCAAGGGUGAAAGUCCUGGACAGCCAUGCAAUAAAUAAUGAAUGCAUAACUGGACCGUGUGUAGUGUCGAUGGGAGUUGGAUGCAAGAACAACUGAGAGAAAAUCUUGCGCAGGUUGGCCAGGAAAGAGUGCCAGUGAAUAGGCUUGUAUUCACUGGAAUUUAGGAUGAGAGGGGAUCUUAUAGAAUCAUAAUAUUAUUAAGGGAUUGGACAUGAUAGAUGCAGGAAAAAUGGUUCCGAUAUUAGAAGAGUCCAGAACAGGGGCCACAGUUUAAGAAUAAGGGGUAGGCCAUUCAGAAUCGAGAUGAUGAAAAACCUUUUCACCCAGAGAGUUGUGAAUUUGUGGAAUUCUCUGCCUCAGAAGGCAGUGGAUGCAUUCAGUACAGAGUUAGAGAGAGCUCUUAGGACAAGCGGAAUCAAGGGAUAUGGGGAGAAGGCAGGAACGGGGUCCUGAUUGUGGAUGAUCAGCCAUGAACACAUUGCAUGGUGGUGCUGGCUCGUAGACGCCCGGCCGAUUCCGAGUUAUGCGGGGGGGGGGGGGGUUUAUGUAACUCACAGUUUCUGCGCAUUGAAAACUCUGCGCAGCUGGCCGCGAUGAGCACAGAGGCACUCGUGACGUCAUCCAGCUUGCUUCAGCUCGUUAACUUCAAAAAAGAUCGCAGAUUGGUGAACAAUUUCCGUAAAAAAUCGGGAAAUAAAGAAUCCAAUUUUCACAUGAGGCAAUUUUCGACAUCAUGAGGUAAAUCUCUACCAGAAUAUGUAAAAAUUUCACCAUUAGCGCGUCGGGUUUUCUAGAAGAUGUGAUUCACAAGCAAACAAAUAAACAUCCAAGAUCAGAGUUUUAUAAUAAUACUCGCCUAAGUGGGACCCGUUGGGAGGGCUGGUCCCUCAACGCAAUAUUUCACCUCUCCACCAAUUCCAAUAUUGGUGGCCAGUGGGGGGG